rfam:Laccaria bicolor S238N-H82 LACBIscaffold_3 genomic scaffold, whole genome shotgun sequence.
GGUGCUAUAGUGUAGUGGUUAUCACUCGGGAUUUUGAGAAUAAGCUUCCCGUAACCCAGGUUCGAACCCUGGUAGCACCU